UCUCCGUAGGUGAACCUGCGGAGGGAUCAUUACUGAGUGAGGGCUUCGGUCCGACCUCCAACCCUUUGUGAACCAAACUUGUUGCUUCGGGGGCGACCCUGCCGUCCGCGGCUGAGCGCCCCCGGAGGCCUUCAAACACUGCAUCUUUGCGUCGGAGUUUAAGUAAAUUAAACAAAACUUUCAACAACGGAUCUCUUGGUUCUGGCAUCGAUGAAGAACGCAGC
rnacentral:misc_RNA from 1 species